rnacentral:rRNA from 1 species
UACGUAGGGGGCAAGCGUUGUCCGGAAUCAUUGGGCGUAAAGAGCGCGUAGGCGGCCCUGUAAGUCCGCUGUGAAAGUCAAGGGCUCAACCCUUGGAUGCCGGUGGAUACUGCAGGGCUAGAGUCCGGAAGAGGCGAGUGGAAUUCCUGGUGUAGCGGUGAAAUGCGUAGAGAUCCGGAGGAACACCAGUGGCGAAGGCGACACGCUGGGCCGUACCUGACGCUAAAGCGCGACAGCAUGGGGAGCAAACGGG